rnacentral:rRNA from 1 species
AUGAGCGUUGCAGCUAGGGUGUCUCAAGAGAUGGGUGUUAAAUUGGGACACGAGGUUGGUUACUCCAUAAGGUUUGAGGAUUGUACCUCAGAGAAAACAAUGAUUAAAUACAUGACUGAUGGAAUGCUUUUGAGGGAGUUUCUUGGAGAACCAGAUUUGGCUGGCUAUAGUGUUGUCAUGGUUGAUGAGGCUCAUGAGCGCACGCUGUCUACUGAUAUCUUGUUUGGUUUGGUUAAGGACAUUGCUAGGUUUCGUCCAGACCUGAAGUUGCUCAUUUCAAGUGCAACCCUUGACGCAGAAAAAAUUAGCGACUACUUUGAUUCAGCUCCUAUUUUCAAGAUUCCUGGGAGGCGAUACCCUGUUGAAGUACAUUAUACAAAAGCUCCAGAAGCAGAUUACAUUGAUGCUGCCAUUGUCACUAUUUUACAGAUACAUGUGACACAGCCCCCUGGUGAUAUCCUAGUGUUCCUUACAGGACAAGAAGAAAUUGAAACUGUUGAUGAGAUCCUGAAACACAAAACAAGGGGUUUAGGCACAAAGAUUCCAGAGCUAAAUAUAUGCCCUAUUUAUGCAAAUCUGCCUACUGAACUUCAAGCAAAGAUCUUUGAGACAACCCCUGAGGGUUCUCGGAAAGUGGUCCUGGCCACUAAUAUAGCAGAGACUUCAUUAACCAUUGAUGGUAUAAAAUAUGUUAUUGACCCAGGUUUUUGCAAGAUCAAGUCAUAUAACCCUCGUACAGGGAUGGAAUCCCUGCUUAUCAAUCCCAUCUCAAAGGCAUCAGCAAACCAGAGGGCAGGAAGAUCUGGACGGACAGGACCAGGAAAAUGUUUUCGUCUGUACACAAGUUAUAACUACAUGCAUGAUCUUGAGGACAAUACUGUUCCAGAGAUACAAAGAACCAACCUUGCAAAUGUUGUUCUUACACUUAAGAGUCUUGGUAUUCAUGACUUGGUUAAUUUUGAUUUUAUGGACCCACCUCCUUCAGAGGCCUUGUUGAAGGCCCUGGAACAACUUUUUGCUCUUAGUGCACUCAACAGUCGUGGAGAGUUGACCAAGACUGGAAGGCGAAUGGCAGAGUUUCCACUAGAUCCUAUGCUGUCAAAGAUGAUAGUAGCUUCAGAGAAAUAUAAGUGUUCUGAUGAGGUCAUGUCCAUUGCGUCAAUGCUGUCGAUCGGCAAUUCUAUAUUCUACCGUCCGAAGGACAAACAGGUUCAUGCAGAUAAUGCAAGGUUGAACUUCCACACUGGGAACGUUGGGGACCACAUAGCAUUACUCAAUGUCUAUAACUCAUGGAGAGAAACAGACUUCUCGACUCAAUGGUGUUAUGAAAAUUAUAUCCAGGUCCGCAGCAUGAAGAGAGCAAGAGACAUUCGAGAUCAACUGGAGGGACUUAUGGAGAGAGUUGAGAUUGAGGUCUGUUCAAAUGCCAGUGACUUGGAUGCUAUUAAAAAGGCUAUAACAUCCGGUUUCUUCCACCAUUCUGCACGGUUGCAGAAGAAUGGUUCAUAUAGAACUGUCAAGAACCCUCAGACGGUCUUUAUCCACCCUAGUUCAGGAUUAGCACAGCUACUUCCUCGUUGGGUAAUAUACCACGAACUAGUUCUCACGACAAAAGAGUACAUGCGCCAGGUGACGGAACUGAAGCCCGAAUGGCUGGUGGAAAUUGCUCCGCACUACUACCAACUAAAAGAUGUGGACGACGCUGGUUCAAAGAAGCUGCCCAAGGGCCAAGGACGAGCUGCAUUGUAG